rnacentral:rRNA from 1 species
AAAUUGAAGAGUUUGAUCAUGGCUCAGAUUGAACGCUGGCGGCAGGCCUAACACAUGCAAGUCGAACGGUAACAGGAAGCAGCUUGCUGCUUUGCUGACGAGUGGCGGACGGGUGAGUAAUGUCUGGGAAACUGCCUGAUGGAGGGGGAUAACUACUGGAAACGGUGGCUAAUACCGCAUAACGUCGCAAGACCAAAGAGGGGGACCUUCGGGCCUCUUGCCAUCAGAUGUGCCCAGAUGGGAUUAGCUAGUUGGUGAGGUAACGGCUCACCAAGGCGACGAUCCCUAGCUGGUCUGAGAGGAUGACCAGCCACACUGGAACUGAGACACGGUCCAGACUCCUACGGGAGGCAGCAGUGGGGAAUAUUGCACAAUGGGCGCAAGCCUGAUGCAGCCAUGCCGCGUGUAUGAAGAAGGCCUUCGGGUUGUAAAGUACUUUCAGCGGGGAGGAAGGUGUUGUGGUUAAUAACCGCAGCAAUUGACGUUACCCGCAGAAGAAGCACCGGCUAACUCCGUGCCAGCAGCCGCGGUAAUACGGAGGGUGCAAGCGUUAAUCGGAAUUACUGGGCGUAAAGCGCACGCAGGCGGUCUGUCAAGUCGGAUGUGAAAUCCCCGGGCUCAACCUGGGAACUGCAUUCGAAACUGGCAGGCUUGAGUCUUGUAGAGGGGGGUAGAAUUCUAGGUGUAGCGGUGAAAUGCGUAGAGAUCUGGAGGAAUACCGGUGGCGAAGGCGGCCCCCUGGACAAAGACUGACGCUCAGGUGCGAAAGCGUGGGGAGCAAACAGGAUUAGAUACCCUGGUAGUCCACGCCGUAAACGAUGUCUACUUGGAGGUUGUGCCCUUGAGGCGUGGCUUCCGGAGCUAACGCGUUAAGUAGACCGCCUGGGGAGUACGGCCGCAAGGUUAAAACUCAAAUGAAUUGACGGGGGCCCGCACAAGCGGUGGAGCAUGUGGUUUAAUUCGAUGCAACGCGAAGAACCUUACCUGGUCUUGACAUCCACGGAAGUUUUCAGAGAUGAGAAUGUGCCUUCGGGAACCGUGAGACAGGUGCUGCAUGGCUGUCGUCAGCUCGUGUUGUGAAAUGUUGGGUUAAGUCCCGCAACGAGCGCAACCCUUAUCCUUUGUUGCCAGCGAUUAGGUCGGGAACUCAAAGGAGACUGCCAGUGAUAAACUGGAGGAAGGUGGGGAUGACGUCAAGUCAUCAUGGCCCUUACGACCAGGGCUACACACGUGCUACAAUGGCGCAUACAAAGAGAAGCGACCUCGCGAGAGCAAGCGGACCUCAUAAAGUGCGUCGUAGUCCGGAUUGGAGUCUGCAACUCGACUCCAUGAAGUCGGAAUCGCUAGUAAUCGUGGAUCAGAAUGCCACGGUGAAUACGUUCCCGGGCCUUGUACACACCGCCCGUCACACCAUGGGAGUGGGUUGCAAAAGAAGUAGGUAGCUUAACCUUCGGGAGGGCGCUUACCACUUUGUGAUUCAUGACUGGGGUGAAGUCGUAACAAGGUAACCGUAGGGGAACCUGCGGUUGGAUCACCUCCUUA